UACGUAGGGGGCGAGCGUUGUCCGGAAUUAUUGGGCGUAAAGCGCGUGUAGGCGGUCCGGUAAGUCCGCUGUGAAAGUCGAGGGCUCAACCUCGAAUGCCGGUGGAUACUGUCGGGCUUGAGUACGGGAGAGGCGAGUGGAAUUCCUGGUGUAGCGGUGAAAUGCGCAGAUAUCAGGAGGAACACCGGUGGCGAAGGCGGGUCUCUGGGCCGUAACUGACGCUGAGGAGCGAAAGCAUGGGGAGCGAACAGG
rnacentral:rRNA from 1 species